GAUGAACGCUGGCGGCGUGCUUAACACAUGCAAGUCGAACGAAGCACUUUAUGUGAUUUCCGUCGGGACUGAUUAUUUUGUGACUGAGUGGCGGACGGGUGAGUAAAGCGAGGGUAACCUGCCUUGUACAGGGGGAUGACAGUUGGAAACGGCUGCUAAUACCGCAUAAGCGCACAGCAUCGCAUGAUGCAGUGUGAAAAACUCCGGUGGUAUAAGAUGGACCCGCGUUGGAUUAGCUAGUUGGUGAGGUAACGGCCCACCAAGGCGACGAUCCAUAGCCGACCUGAGAGGGUGACCGGCCACAGUGGGACUGAGACACGGCCCAAACUCCUACGGGAGGCAGCAGUGGGGAAUAUUGCACAAUGGGCGAAAGCCUGAUGCAGCGACGCCGCGUGAGCGAAGAAGUAUUUCGGUAUGUAAAGCUCUAUCAGCAGGGAAGAUAAUGACGGUACCUGACUAAGAAGCACCGGCUAAAUACGUG
rnacentral:rRNA from 1 species